GGGGUUGUGGCUCAGUGGUAGAGCACUUGCCUAGUGUGUAAGAGGCACUGGGUUCAAUUCACAGGACCACA
rfam:Ictidomys tridecemlineatus contig074886, whole genome shotgun sequence.